rnacentral:rRNA from 1 species
CCUACGGGGGGCAGCAGUGGGGAAUAUUGCACAAUGGGCGCAAGCCUGAUGCAGCGACGCCGCGUGAGCGAUGAAGGCCUUCGGGUCGUAAAGCUCUGUCCUAAGGGAAGAAUAAUGACGGUACCUUAGGAAGAAGACCAGGCUAACUACGGUCCAGCAGCCGCGGUAAUACGUAGGGGGCGAGCGUUAUCCGGAAUCACGGGGAGUAAAGGGUGCGUAGGCGGCCCUGCAAGUCAGGAGUUAAAUGCCUCGUCUCAACCAGAGUCAGCUCUUGAAACUGUAGGGUUUGAGUGCAGGAGAGGAGAGCGGAAAUCCUAGUGUAGCGGUGAAAUGCGUAGAUAUUAGGAGGAACCCCAGUGGCGAAGGCGGUGAUGAGGACUGCAACUGACGCGGAGGCACGAAAGCGUGGGGAGCGAACAGGAUUAGAUACCACUGUAGUC